rnacentral:rRNA from 1 species
AACGAACGCUGGCGGCAUGCCUAACACAUGCAAGUCGAACGAAGUCUUCGGACUUAGUGGCGCACGGGUGCGUAACGCGUGGGAAUCUGCCCUUGGGUACGGAAUAACUCAGAGAAAUUUGUGCUAAUACCGUAUAAUGUCUUCGGACCAAAGAUUUAUCGCCCAAGGAUGAGCCCGCGUAAGAUUAGCUAGUUGGUGGGGUAAAAGCCUACCAAGGCGACGAUCUUUAGCUGGUCUGAGAGGAUGAUCAGCCACACUGGGACUGAGACACGGCCCAGACUCCUACGGGAGGCAGCAGUGGGGAAUAUUGGACAAUGGGCGAAAGCCUGAUCCAGCAAUGCCGCGUGAGUGAUGAAGGCCUUAGGGUUGUAAAGCUCUUUUACCCGGGAUGAUAAUGACAGUACCGGGAGAAUAAGCUCCGGCUAACUCCGUGCCAGCAGCCGCAGUAAGAC